GGGGAUAUGGCGGAAUUGGCAGACGCGCUAGAUUCAGAUUCUAGUAAAAGCAAUUUUGUGCAAGUUCAAGUCUUGUUAUCCCCACCA
rnacentral:tRNA from 1 species